GAAGGUACAGCUUAGUGGUAGAGCGGGCACUUAGCACACAUGAGAUCCUGGGUUCGAUUCCCAGUACCUCCG
rnacentral:tRNA from 1 species